rnacentral:rRNA from 1 species
CUGCCCAAUGAGUUGAAUUUAAUGGCCGCAGUAUUUUGACUGUGCUAAGGUAGCAUAAUCAAUUGCUUUUUAAUUGAAAGCUAGAAUGAAAGAGUUGAUAAAAAAUUAACUUUAUUAAAUUAAUUAAUUUGAAUUUAAUUUUUUAGUUAAAAAGCUAAAGUAAUUUUAAGGGACGAGAAGACCCUAUAGAAUUUAAUAAAAAUAUUAAUUUAAAAAUUAAAAUUCUAUUUUAUUAGUAAUAUUAUUAUUUUAUUGGGAGGAUAGUUAAAUUAAAUAAACUUUAAUUAUUUAAAUCAAUUAUAAUUGAAUAUUAAUGAUUUUUUAAAUUAAAAUUAUUAGAUUAAAUUACCUUAGGGAUAACAGCGUAAUAUUUUUGGAAAGUUCAUAUUUAUAAAAAUGUUUGCGACCUCGAUGUUGAAUUAAGAUAAAAUUUUAAAGUAAAAAUUAAAAAUUUAAGUCUGUUCG